UUUCUUCUAGGACCGGACUCAGAAUGUCCCAUGCUGCUGCAACCUCAUCGCUUCUCAUGAACAGAUGAUUGUCACCAUCAAUUACAUCAUGGAUUAGGUGUUCGUAUGAGUCUGGUAUUUCGGUUUUGUACCUAGAGGUUUGACCCAACAACGCAAAUAACUAUAACGAGUAGAAGUUUGAUUUUCAAAAUGUGUAGGAACACAGAUGAGAAAAGCAAAACUUGCCUGUCUUUAUAGAGCAGGUUAAGUUCAGAAGCGUCUAGCUGAAGACCUAAACCAGGAACCUUGUUAUUAAUUUUCACCAGGAUGGCCUCAUCAGGUUCGUCACGCAGAAUUAGCUCAUUUGUCCCCAAAUCUAUGUUUAUUCCAAUAUUUUCUCGGUAAAGGUUUCCGGGAACAUGCCGGAAUUGCACACGAAUCUCCACUCUUUGAAUAUUAAGGCACACCAAUCAAUUGUAAUGACAAAUGGAUAUUUCCAUGAGCCGGAAUAGUUAUUCUUACCUGUGUUUAAUGAGGCCUGUCCCAACUCUUACCAGGAAAGGUACACCAUCCCAUCGUGCAUUAUCAAUAUACAAGGCUGCAGCGCAAUAUGUAGGGUCUACACCGUUAAAUAUCACACCGUUCUUGUCCUGGGAACUAGAUUUAUACUGACCAAGGAUGACAUCACGCGGGUCUAGUUUGCGAAUUGAUCUCAAAACCUUCACCUGAAGAAGCAUUUUUGUCACAAGGUCACUUGACAGAAUAUGAGUACACAACUUCGAUAUAUAUAUAGAUAUCACAAGACAAUUCUGUUAUUUGCUAGUGCAGGUUGACCUUUUCAUUCCGGAUAUCUUCACCAUCGAGACUUAUCGGAGGUUCCAUGGUAAGUAAUGCGAUUGUCUGAAGUAUAUGGCUGUGCACUAUGUCCCGUAUUAUUCCAUAUCCAUCAGAAUACCUUCAAAAAAUGCAGUAGGAAAUUAGGUACUGAAACCAUAUCUUUCUUUAUAGAACUAUUGUGCCUUACUUUUCGUUUUGCGCAAUUGAUUCUGAUACAAUAACCUGGAAACAUAGGUUAUAGACAAAGUGAACAGACCAGAAUGUGGAGGAGGAAAGUCCAGGCACUAUACACAACUAUAAACAUCUACCUGUAUAUUGCGUAU
rnacentral:lncRNA from 1 species